UCGUCAGGUGGGAUAAUCUUUACCUGUUCCUCCUUUUGGAGGGCAGAUAGAACAUGAUGAUUGGAGUUCGCAUGAAACAUGAUUAGCGUCUGCAUAACCAGGACUUACAACACCCUGGUUGCUCCUAUCUGAU
rnacentral:snoRNA from 1 species